rnacentral:rRNA from 1 species
GGUUAAGUGACUAAGCGUACACGGUGGAUGCCUAGGCAGUCAGAGGCGAUGAAGGGCGUGUUAAUCUGCGAUAAGCGUCGGUAAGGUGAUAUAAACCGUUACAACCGGCGAUACCCGAAUGGGGAAACCCAGUGCAAUUCGUUGCACUAUCAUACGAUGAAUACAUAGUCGUAUGAGGCGAACCGGGGGAACUGAAACAUCUAAGUACCCCGAGGAAAAGAAAUCAACCGAGAUUCCCCCAGUAGCGGCGAGCGAACGGGGAGGAGCCCAGAACCUGAAUCAGUUCUUGUGUUAGUGGAAGCGUCUGGAAAGUCGCACAGUAAAGGGUGAUAGUCCCGUACACUAAAAUGCAUUAAUUGUGAGUUCGAUGAGUAGGGCGGGACACGUGACAUCCUGUCUGAAUAUGGGGGGACCAUCCUCCAAGGCUAAAUACUCCUGACUGACCGAUAGUGAACCAGUACCGUGAGGGAAAGGCGAAAAGAACCCCGGCGAGGGGAGUGAAAUAGAACCUGAAACCGUGUACGUACAAGCAGUGGGAGCCUACUAGUUGGGUGACUGCGUACCUUUUGUAUAAUGGGUCAGCGACUUAUAUUUUGUAGCAAGGUUAACCGUAUAGGGGAGCCGUAGGGAAACCGAGUCUUAACUGGGCGAAUAGUUGCAAGGUAUAGACCCGAAACCCGGUGAUCUAGCCAUGGGCAGGUUGAAGGUUGGGUAACACUAACUGGAGGACCGAACCGACUAAUGUUGAAAAAUUAGCGGAUGACUUGUGGCUGGGGGUGAAAGGCCAAUCAAACCGGGAGAUAGCUGGUUCUCCCCGAAAGCUAUUUAGGUAGCGCCUCGUGAACUCAUCUUCGGGGGUAGAGCACUGUUUCGGCUAGGGGGCCAUCCCGGCUUACCAAACCGAUGCAAACUCCGAAUACCGAAGAAUGUUAUCACGGGAGACACACGGCGGGUGCUAACGUCCGUCGUGAAGAGGGAAACAACCCAGACCGCCAGCUAAGGUCCCAAAGUCAUGGUUAAGUGGGAAACGAUGUGGGAAGGCAUAGACAGCCAGGAUGUUGGCUUAGAAGCAGCCAUCAUUUAAAGAAAGCGUAAUAGCUCACUGGUCGAGUCGGCCUGCGCGGAAGAUGUAACGGGGCUAAACCAUGCACCGAAGCUGCGGCAGCGACGCUUAGGCGUUGUUGGGUAGGGGAGCGUUCUGUAAGCCGUUGAAGGUGGCCUGUGAGGGUUGCUGGAGGUAUCAGAAGUGCGAAUGCUGACAUAAGUAACGAUAAAGCGGGUGAAAAACCCGCUCGCCGGAAGACCAAGGGUUCCUGUCCAACGUUAAUCGGGGCAGGGUGAGUCGACCCCUAAGGCGAGGCCGAAAGGCGUAGUCGAUGGGAAACAGGUUAAUAUUCCUGUACUCGGUGUUACUGCGAAGGGGGGACGGAGAAGGCUAGGCUAGCCGGGCGACGGUUGUCCCGGUUUAAGCGUGUAGGGGGAGUGACUUGGUAAAUCCGGUUACUUAUNNNNNNNNNNNNNNNNNNNNNNNNNNNNNNNNNNNNNNNNNNNNNNNNNNNNNNNNNNNNNNNNNNNNNNNNNNNNNNNNNNNNNNNNNNNNNNNNNNNNAACCCUGAGGCGUGAUGACGAUGCACUACGGUGCAGAAGUAGUUGAUGCCAAGCUUCCAGGAAAAGCCUCUAAGCAUCAGGUAACAUCAAAUCGUACCCCAAACCGACACAGGUGGUCAGGUAGAGAAUACCAAGGCGCUUGAGAGAACUCGGGUGAAGGAACUAGGCAAAAUGGUGCCGUAACUUCGGGAGAAGGCACGCUGGCGCGUAGGUGAAGAGACUUGCUCUCGGAGCUGAAGCCAGUCGCAGAUACCAGCUGGCUGCAACUGUUUAAUAAAAACACAGCACUGUGCAAACACGAAAGUGGACGUAUACGGUGUGACGCCUGCCCGGUGCUGGAAGGUUAAUUGAUGGGGUCAGCCGCAAGGCGAAGCUCUUGAUCGAAGCCCCAGUAAACGGCGGCCGUAACUAUAACGGUCCUAAGGUAGCGAAAUUCCUUGUCGGGUAAGUUCCGACCUGCACGAAUGGCGUAAUGAUGGCCAGGCUGUCUCCACCCGAGACUCAGUGAAAUUGAACUCGCUGUGAAGAUGCAGUGUACCCGCGGCAAGACGGAAAGACCCCGUGAACCUUUACUAUAGCUUGACACUGAACAUUGAGCCUUGAUGUGUAGGAUAGGUGGGAGGCUUUGAAGCGUGGACGCCAGUCUGCGUGGAGCCAACCUUGAAAUACCACCCUUUAAUGUUUGAUGUUCUAACUCGGCCCCGUAAUCCGGGGUGAGGACAGUGUCUGGUGGGUAGUUUGACUGGGGCGGUCUCCUCCCAAAGAGUAACGGAGGAGCACGAAGGUUAGCUAAUCACGGUCGGACAUCGUGAGGUUAGUGCAAAGGCAUAAGCUAGCUUGACUGCGAGAGUGACGGCUCGAGCAGGUACGAAAGUAGGUCUUAGUGAUCCGGUGGUUCUGAAUGGAAGGGCCAUCGCUCAACGGAUAAAAGGUACUCCGGGGAUAACAGGCUGAUACCGCCCAAGAGUUCAUAUCGACGGCGGUGUUUGGCACCUCGAUGUCGGCUCAUCACAUCCUGGGGCUGAAGUAGGUCCCAAGGGUAUGGCUGUUCGCCAUUUAAAGUGGUACGCGAGCUGGGUUUAGAACGUCGUGAGACAGUUCGGUCCCUAUCUGCCGUGGGCGUUGGAAGAUUGAGAGGGGUUGCUCCUAGUACGAGAGGACCGGAGUGAACGCACCACUGGUGUUCGGGUUGUCAUGCCAAUGGCAUUGCCCGGUAGCUAAGUGCGGAAAAGAUAAGCGCUGAAAGCAUCUAAGCGCGAAACUUGCCUCGAGAUGAGUCUUCCCUGGGGACUUGAUCCCCCUGAAGGAACGUUUAAGACUAAGACGUUGAUAGGCUGGGUGUGUAAGUGCAGCGAUGCAUUGAGCUAACCAGUACUAAUGAUCCGUGAGACUUAACCUU